UUACCGAGAACUGAUAUUCAAAGAAAUCAAUUGUUACGGUUUUUAACGUUGGGUGCGAUCAUGACCUAGGUUACGUACAUGUUAACAGUUUAUCAGUAAUAUAAAUCUCAUCAUGAAAAUUGACAUUUCUUAAAA